UACGAAGGGGGCUAGCGUUGCUCGGAAUCACUGGGCGUAAAGCGCACGUAGGCGGAUUGCUAAGUCAGGGGUGAAAUCCUGGAGCUCAACUCCAGAACUGCCCUUGAUACUGGCGGUCUCGAGUCCGGGAGAGGAGAGUGGAAUUCCUGGUGUAGCGGUGAAAUGCGCAGAUAUCAGGAGGAACACCGGUGGCGAAGGCGGUUCUCUGGGCCUGUACUGACGCUGAGGAGCGAAAGCGUGGGGAGCGAACAGG
rnacentral:rRNA from 1 species